GAGUAAGGGGAUUCCCUCUCCAAGGGGCUGACUGUGCCCUUUCCAGGAAUGUAGUAACUUGCAAGAAAAUUGGGCAUGCCUGAAUCUCUGUUGAACAAGGGAUACUUAUUUCCUUGGCCUGCCUUUGGCUGCCUACAUGU